rnacentral:rRNA from 1 species
ACUCAAAUGAAUUGACGGGGACCCGCACAAGCGGUGGAUUAUGUGGUUUAAUUCGAAGCAACGCGCAGAACCUUACCUAGACUUGACUUCCUAAGAAAAGCUGCAGAAAUGUAGCCUUUGAAUAUAGCAAUAUAUUCGCUUAGAGACAGGUGCUGCAUGGCUGUCGUCAGCUCGUGUUGUGAAAUAUUGGGUUAAGUCCCGCAACGAGCGCAACCCUUAUUCUUAGUUGCCAGCAUUAAGUUGGGCACUCUAGGAAAACUGCCUGCGUUAAGCAGGAGGAAGGUGGGGAUGACGUCAAGUCCUCAUGGCCUUUAUGUCUAGGGCUACACACGUAAUACAAUGGUAGGUACAAAUCGAAGCAAAACCGCGAGGUGAAGCAAAUCGCAAAAAGCCUAUCUCAGUUCGGAUUGGAGGCUGCAACUCGCCUCCAUGAAGUCGGAAUCGCUAGUAAUCGCGGAUAAGCACGCCGCGGUGAAUACGUUCCCGGGUCUUGUACACACCGCCCGU